rnacentral:misc_RNA from 1 species
CCGUUGGAGCUUGCUCCAUCUGGGAUAGAACCCUUGAAUUUGAGUACCUUUUUGUUUCCUUGGUGGGUCCGCCCACCAGUGGACAACCGAAAACUCUCUGUUAUAGCAGUAUCUUCUGAGAAAAACAAAUAGUUA